CAGUAGCCGCGGGAAAACGGAGGGUGCAAGCGUUAAUCGGAAUUACUGGGCGUAAAGCGCACGCAGGCGGUCUGACAAGUCAGAUGUGAAAUCCCCGGGCUUAACCUGGGAACUGCAUUUGAAACUGUCAGGCUGGAGUCUUGUAGAGGGGGGUGGAAUUCCAGGUGUAGCGGUGAAAUGCGUAGAGAUCUGGAGGAAUACCGGUGGCGAAGGCGGCCCCCUGGACAAAGACUGACGCUCAGGUGCGAAAGCGUGGGGAGCAAACAGGAUUAGAUACCCGAGUAGUCCCUGUCUCUUAUAC
rnacentral:rRNA from 1 species